rnacentral:misc_RNA from 1 species
GGAUCAGCUCCCAUAUAUGUAUUGCUUGACAGUGUUGGGUGUGUGAGUGCUCCAAAUUGCCUUUUUGCUGUUAUGAUGUAAAUUGUAUGAAAAUUAUGAUGAUGUUGUAUUUCAUUCCACAUGGUGUGGCUAUAGAUAGCUAUAGAAAAUGUACUUAAAAUUGGGCCUUACGAUUGGGUUAAAGAAUAGUUAGGCUUACUACAGGCUUCGGGGGCUUUAGGCUGGCCCAUAGGUUAGGUCGUG